UGAAGACCAACGUGUCAAAAUCCUUUCCACGAAUUAUUUAGGAUUUCUCUUAUCCCGUGUAAUCUUCACUUCACGCAUACGAAAUAUUCUGCCCAAUGGCCUAGUCGUCCAUGCAGACAAAAAUGAUUGAUGUAACUUAUCUACAUUAUUACCAAAUGGUUUAUAUCACAUCAUGUGUUAACAUAACCCAUGCAGUGUUACUUCGUAUAUUGUACAUGCCAAUUUUUAUGGUCUCUAAUACUCUCAUCUGAUCAUUGCUACACACGACAUUCAAGUGCAGGGCAACAAUUCAUAAAAGUAAAUUAAAUAAAUUCAAAUUCAAAUUAAAUUUAUUUUUAAUUAAAAUUUAGAAUGAAUCUCGCAAUUUUAAUAAUUUCUGGCUGUGUACUAAUUAAUAUUGUUGCUUUGAUAAUUUACAUUAAGUUGUUCCGUGGCACUAACUGCAGAACAUGUCAAAAGGAAACGGGACGUGAUUCCACAAUUGAUGCUCCACUUCCACGGGAUCCUGCCAGGCCCUUAGAAAUUUGCAUAGUGCAGAACGAUCUCGUCCCAAAUUACGAUUCGGUCAUGUUUAGCUCAUAAUUCCGACUGCAUUUACUUUUCAGAGGGGUAACAUUAUCUUUAGUAGUGUAAAUCUAAAUAGAAGGAACCAAAUAUGUAGCGUUGGCUGAAGUACUGUGACAAAAACCUGUAUGUGAAUAAAUGAAUUUACGAGUAGGCUAAUACAUGAGGUGUAGAUCGAGGAUAUGUUCGAAUUUUGGUCACGCACUGACGACUUUAGUGACCCACGGAAGGGUCGCCUAUAAGCUUGUCGGAGGGGAGGUACCCUCACCUCGUUAUACAUAUUGCUAAUUGCAUCCUCUUACGAUGUGUCAUACAUAAUCAAUCCAGGAAAAUAAGAAGUAAGUAAAAUGAGUAAUAAACCGUUGCAAACGAAAUGUAGCAAUAGGAUGAAACCAAGUCGUGGACCCGUCUAUACGGUAACGGGGUCAUCGUACGUCGAAAUCAUUUCGAUUUUUGAAAUCCCCGCCCCAAAAUACGUUUAGAACGAUCGAAACGACGCAAUUAGACAAAUUUCGACAUUUUUUGACGUCUACACGGUCACACGGUCAUCGUCAGUCAAAAUAAUGUCGAUUUUUGAAAUCCUCGUCCCAAAAUAUGUCUAAGAACGUGGAAACAAAAAAUUCGACACCUAUUCGACACGGCGUCGUCCCCAUAUCGCCGUGACCUUACGACCUGCAACGCCCAUCUUCGAACUUGUGCGCACUUUUAAAAUCCGUUCAGUAGUUAGAGAGGGAACAGACGGACGGACGGACAGACGAACAGAGCAUUCCCAUUAUAGGGUUUCACCCUAUAAUAAAGUGCGGCAAAGCACGAUACAUAAGUAGCGCAAAAAUGCUGAGAAUGCUGGGCCGUGACCUUAGUCGCCAUAUUUCGACAUGUCGACAACACCGAAAAACAUGUUUUGCCCAAAUUGUGACCAUGCGACCACACCCCUGGCGCCGAGGGGGUAUGGCACAACUCAGAUACACGUAAUUUAACUGGAUUUCAUCCAUAGAUUAAUUUGCGCUAUAAAUCUCAUUUUGCCCCGAUCACACUGCGACCACACCCCCUGGCGCCGAGAGGGUGUGGUCCAAAAGUUUUCCGAAUCCUCCCCCUGGGGUCAUGUGUAUGAUGCCGCAAACCGAUUUCGAUUAUCUUGAUGCGUUCUCGAGUUAUAGUGUUGACGGACAGACAGACAGAUGGACGGACUAACUAACCGAUCGCAUAAAGUAGCUUGCGCUACUUAAUAAACUACGUCUUUACUUACAAUGCGAUGGUGUGAAGUGCAACUCUCGGAUUUGGCUGAAAUUUUAAAAUUGAGUUGUCCAAGUCAAUGCAACCAACCAAAGUUUUUCCAACUUUGAACUCUUUUGAGAAAUCCCAACCAUCACACAAACUGCCUCAAGAAACGUGCGUUGGAUUGACUUGGCCUACAUAAUUCCAAAAUUUCAGCCAAAUCCGAUAGUUGCACUUCACACCAUCGCAUUGUUAGUUCUGCUGUCCAUAAAUACUUGCAUAUUUAUGCAAACGUUUUAUUGCUAUGACGCUUCACCCCGCUAUCGGUGGAAUACUGCAUGUAUACGUACCAUCUAAAUGAGUAAAAGUAUGGUGUGCAUGAUAUCUCAAUCACUUAUAUCAAUUUAACAUGUUGGGUUCAGGUACUGAUAAAAGAAUAAACGGCGAUACAAUAAUGUAUCACAUCAACAUAUGACAUGGUUAUACCGAUGAAGUUGUAGCACUUAUAGCGUUCCAAAUAAUAAUAUUCUCAUCAUUGCAUCCAUAUCAUUGCUACAAGCGAAGUUCAAGUGCAGCGUACAAAUUUAUUUUAUUUAUAAUGAAUUUCGCCAUUAUAGCAAUUUCUGGGGUUGGAUUAAUUCUUGUUAUAGCUUUACUAAUUUACGUUAAGGUGAGGUUUCUUCUUGCAAUUGUACACUCUUAAAAAUAAUGUUACCCCUUCAAAAGUAACUCCAGCCCGAAUUCUGAAUUAAACAAACUGUACUAAAUCCAGAGUAACGUUAACCAGUUAAAGUGGAAAGUUUCCUCUCGAUUUUUUGUGGAUAUGUAGCAUUAACUGCGGAACGAAUCAAACGAAAAUCGGACCUGAUUCCACCCACAUCAUCGUUGAUUCUCCACUUCCAAGGGAUCAUGUCGUCGUAAUCAGUUCCACACAAAUUUGCAUAGUGCAAAACGAUCUGGCCCCAAAUUACGAUUCCGCCAUGUAUCGUGAUACCGUCAAAUCUCCAGAUAUUGCGGACGAAACUUGUCCGCCUCCAAGUUAUACAGAAUGCUUACAGAAUAAGACUUUGAACAGAUGACAAUUCCCUGCUGAUGUACUGUACAAAUUGUAUCAGAGAAAUAAAAAAAGCUAUUUAUAAACCACUAGCGUA